rnacentral:rRNA from 1 species
AAUGGGGGCAACCCUGAUCCAGCCAUGCCGCGUGAGUGAAGAAGGCCUUCGGGUUGUAAAGCUCUUUCGGACGGAAAGAAAUCGCGCGGGUGAAUAAUCCGCGUGGAUGACGGUACCGUAAGAAGAAGCACCGGCUAACUACGUGCCAGCAGCCGCGGUAAUACGUAGGGUGCGAGCGUUAAUCGGAAUUACUGGGCGUAAAGCGUGCGUAGGCGGCGCUGUAAGACAGGUGUGAAAUCCCCGGGCUUAACCUGGGAAUUGCGCUUGUGACUGCAGUGCUCGAGUGCGGCAGAGGGGGGUGGAAUUCCACGUGUAGCAGUGAAAUGCGUAGAGAUGUGGAGGAACACCGAUGGCGAAGGCAGCCCCCUGGGUCGACACUGACGCUCAGGCACGAAAGCGUGGGGAGCAAA